GGGUGAGUAACACGUAUCCAACCUGCCGAUGACUCGGGGAUAGCCUUUCGAAAGAAAGAUUAAUACCCGAUGGCAUAGUUCUUCCGCAUGGUAGAACUAUUAAAGAAUUUCGGUCAUCGAUGGGGAUGCGUUCCAUUAGCUUGUUGGCGGGGUAACGGCCCACCAAGGCAUCGAUGGAUAGGGGUUCUGAGAGGAAGGUCCCCCACAUUGGAACUGAGACACGGUCCAAACUCCUACGGGAGGCAGCAGUGAGGAAUAUUGGUCAAUGGGCGCUAGCCUGAACCAGCCAAGUAGCGUGAAGGAUGACUGCCCUAUGGGUUGUAAACUUCUUUUAUAUGGGAAUAAAGUGCAGUAUGUAUACUGCUUUGCAUGUACCUUAUGAAUAAGGAUCGGCUAACUCCGUGCCAGCAGCCGCGGUAAUACGGAGGAUCCGAGCGUUAUCCGGAUUUAUUGGGUUUAAAGGGAGCGUAGGCGGGUUGUUAAGUCAGUUGUGAAAGUUUGCGGCUCAACCGUAAAAUUGCAGUUGAUACUGGCAUCCUUGAGUACAGUAGAGGUAGGCGGAAUUCGUGGUGUAGCGGUGAAAUGCUUAGAUGUCACGAAGAACUCCGAUUGCGAAGGCAGCCUGCUGGACUGUAACUGACGCUGAUGCUCGAAAGUGUGGGUAUCAAACAGGAUUAGAUACCCUGGUAGUCCACACAGUAAACGAU
rnacentral:rRNA from 1 species